rnacentral:sRNA from 1 species
CCGAUUAGUAGAUAAUUAUUUGUGAUAGCAAGUUAAUGACGGUGACUAACUUCAAGAAAAUCUGAGGUGAUGCCUCUGAUUAAAAUAAAUGUGUUGCCUCUCGAAAGGAUAACCAUGAGUGUUUUUGAAGCUCUCUCGUUUAUGAUAUCUUUUGCAACGUUAGUAGUUAUAAUACUCAAAUUUAA